AUUGAACGCUGGCGGCAGGCCUAACACAUGCAAGUCGAACGGAGCGGCGGACGGGUGAGUAAUGCCUAGGAAUCUGCCUGGUAGUGGGGGAUAACUUCCGGAAACGGUAGCUAAUACCGCAUACUAUCAGAUGAGCCUAGGUCGGAUUAGCUAGUUGGUGGGGUAAAGGCCUACCAAGGCGACGAUCCGUAACUGGUAUGAGAGGAUGAUCAGCCACACUGGAACUGAGACACGGUCCAGAAUCCUACGGGAGGCAGCAGUGGGGAAUAUUGGAAAAUGGGCGAAAGCCUGAUCCAGCCAUGCCGCGUGUGUGAAGAAGGCCUUCGGAUUGUAAAGCACUUUAAGCUGGGAGGCGUUACCAACAGAAUAAGCACCGGCUAACUACGUGCCAGCAGCCGCGGUAAUAC
rnacentral:rRNA from 1 species